rnacentral:rRNA from 1 species
CCUACGGGUGGCAGCAGUGAGGAAUAUUGGUCAAUGGUCGGGAGACUGAACCAGCCAAGCCGCGUGAGUGAUGAAGGUACAGAGUAUCGUAAGCCUCUUUUGUCAGGGAACAAAGGCGGGGACGUGUCCCCGGAUGAGUGUACCUGAAGAAAAAGCAUCGGCUAACUCCGUGCCAGCAGCCGCGGUAAUACGGGGGAGGCGAGCGUUAUCCGGAUUUAUUGGGGUUAACGGGUGCGCAGGCGGUCUGUUCAGUCAGCGGGCAAAGCCCGGGGCUCAACCCCGGCCUGCCGUUGAAACUGGCAGUCGCGAGUUGGAGAGAAGGAUGCGGAAUGCGCGGUGUAGCGGUGAAAUGCAUAGAGAUCGCGCAGAACUCCGAUUGCGAAGGCAGCAUGCUGG